CCGCCCCCCUCCAUCUUCUUUCUCUCCCAAAACCUUCAUCCCAAGCCAUCCAUGGCUGCUUUCCAUGGCUGCCCUCAACCCCACUCCCUCACGUCCAAACGCCACUAACAAACAGUUCGUCUGCGUCGUCACUUCGUCUUCUUCGUCCUUCGUCAAGCUCGAGUUCGAGCUCAACGUCCAUGGUUGCCCUCACCCUCGUCGUCACCACCAAGCUCACGUCAAACCCCCAGCUCCCCGCCACCACCUAACAACCAGUCAAGACCACCCCCCGCACUCCCCAGCAGCGAACUAAACACCACCACCAUCCACCACGAACAAAGCUCCAGCCAUCGCCACCACCAAACGACCCUUCCGGCGAUCCACCAUAACCCGUCACUGCCCGACGUCCAGUCCCCCCCCCCAGCUGCUGCUUCUUCACCUCCAAACAGACCUCGUCGACCAUUGUUGCUGCGUCGAUUGCCUCCCCGUCGUCAUCACCGUUACGCCCAGUCGUUUCCAUGGCCAAGCUCGUCAACCAGUCGUUUUGGUUGUGUUGUUGCUGCCUCAACGAACAUCAGCUUCUCUCUCUAAGUUGCUACCUCACUUUCAUCUUCUUCGUCGUCCGCUUCAAGCUUGCGCUGCUGCUUCAUCGUCCACCAUUUCGUUCAGUUGAGUUGCUGCCACCAUUUCU
rnacentral:lncRNA from 1 species